rnacentral:lncRNA from 1 species
AUGUUUUUAACCAGGUGCUGGACUCCUCAGAUAGUUCUAUCCAUGGAUCGACCGCUUCCUAGGAAGGUCACCUGGCAUGGGGGCCUGAUGCCAUGUUCUUGGACCCUAGGAUACAGAGGCCUCUGCUGCCCCCACAGUGGGGGCAAUGGCAGCAGCAGAAAAGGAUGUUCUACAUUCCGCUGACACCAUCUGAUUUUUUGGGGAGCCGAAAAGGCCAAAGGGAUCGUGACCAACUCAGCAUUCCACUGGAUCAAACAGCAAACUGUUUAUCAUGAAUGAAGGAUGUGAGCAAACUCACGACUGUGCCUGCCACCAGAAGGUUUGCUGAGGACCAUCACUCCCUGGCCCCGGCUCCUUGAGGUUAUCUUCUGGGACAUCUAGAGCCUACUGUUCAAGGAGUACAGUCUUGCAAGCCUACUCUGGACCAAGCAGCUGACCUCUUCUUCCUCCACCCCCUCACCCCACCUUCUCGCUAUCUCUUUUGCCUAAUAAAGAUGGAGGGCUGUGUGAAACUCAGGGCCCUUGUCCACUAGAGGCAAGGUGCCCCCGACCCCUUCUUCCAAACAUAUUCUUUUGUUCUCUUGUCUUUAUUCCCGCUUUCGUCCCCCUUUGUUCAGUCCACCAAGGUCCGUGCAAGUUACAAGUGGCACCGCGAACAGCGACAGGAUCGGGCCCUCCACAAGUGGCGCCCCAAACAGUGAGAGAACCGGACUCUCCACACUGAUUAGCCUCUCCUACGUGGAAGUGGGCACAACCAUAGAGUGAUAGAUUCUCUUCCUGGACUGAACGCCAUAGUUCCUCUCCCAAAUUUCUGCCUUCAGCAGGAACACUACCUUUGCCCUCAGAACACUGCAGGGGAAAUGAAAGUUGAGCUCUCCUCUCCCCUGACCACAGCAGGGUGGGACCUUCCUUCCGCCCCUUCCUCACCACCUGAAGACCAACCCCCACUUCCCUCAAGAGAGAUGUGAAGUUUGUGGGUCUAUUUUCCCCAGGUGCUUUUCUUGGAGCCCCUUGCAUAGGGUCGUAGGAGGGC